UACGAAGGUUGCAAGCGUUACUCGGAAUUACUAGGCGUAAAGGGCAGGUAGGUGGUUUGGUAAGUCUAUUGUGAAAGCUCCCGGCUUAACUGGGAGAGGCCAAUGGAUACUGCCGAGCUUGAGUAUAGGAGAGGUUACUGGAAUUCCCGGUGUAGCGGUGAAAUGCGCAGAUAUCGGGAGGAACACCAAUGGCGAAAGCAGGUAACUGGACUAUUACUGACACUCAACUGCGAAAGCUAGGGGAGCAAACAGG
rnacentral:rRNA from 1 species